GUACUCGUCUCUGAUCUCCUUCGCGACCGUUCUCUCGUUGGCCAAAAGGAACUGAUAGAAAAAUCUGAGCAGGAGGAAACAAAGGGCAGAAGAACGACGUUUCUGAGCUUCAAGAAAUAAAUAUGAGUACAAUGAAUACUGCAGCUGAAUAACAGAAACUUUAAAAAUAUGUUUCUGUAGAGACUCGAAGGAAAGCUAAACACAAACAAAGCCUGACGCAGCCUCACCUGUACUUCAGCAGCGUGUUCUGUGGGAUCUGGUAGUUGGUCAUCGGCUUCCUGAAGGAGUAGAUCUUCUGAAGGAUGAACUCUCGGAUCUUUGACACCGCCUGGAAAACAUCAGAGAAGCCAAAGAAAAUCCAUCCACCACAGAGAAGACUGAGAUAAACAGCUGGUGGAGAUAAAUUUUGAGGCGGUCGACGAUGUCCUGGAUGUCGGAGCAGGCCAGCGUCUCUCUGAAGCUCAGCUCUUUGGCAAAGUUGAUCUUGUUGUUGAGUUCGUGGAGCUGCUCCAGAAACUCCUGCUCCGUCACCGGGCUGUCCAGGAUGGUGCUGCAACGACACGGACGGCGUCAGACAAACGAUCUUCAGUAAGUUUACCCGUCGCCGCCCCCCUCCCCGUCACACUCACGAGAUCAUGGCUCCGGGCACCACCAGCUCGUCCACCAGCUGGCUGAGGUGGCUGCGCACCGCCUGCCUGUUCUUCAGCCGGACGUUCAUGCUGACCGACUGCUGCUGCAGGGUCUGGAUCUCGCUGCUGAUGGAGGACAGGUCGCUCUGGAAGCCGCUCAGCAUGCCCUCCAUCCGCUGAAGGAACGAGAGGACAGACAGAAAACGACUGUCGGGUUAAAGAGGAGCACGUGGCUGCAGAACAUCAUGCAGUGGGAUCAGGAUGGCGGCGCCUCGUCUUACCUCCAGUAUGGAGUCACAGGCGGUGAUCUGGUUGUGCAGGAGAGCGAUGUUCUGACUCUCUUUGAUGUCUGACAGAUGAACAGUCAGGAAAAACAACAGAGGAUCAUCUGGGUUUCAUUUCAAACUCCUCCCAAAACACUUAAGAAAAUAAAACCUGAUUCAAAUAAAAAUCUAAAUGAGCCACAACUUCACAUAAUGAGAAGUUGAACGUGU